CCGUAAGGGAACCUGCGGAAGGAUCAUUA
rnacentral:rRNA from 1 species